CAGUAGCCGCGGGAAUACGAAGGGGGCUAGCGUUGCUCGGAAUGACUGGGCGUAAAGGGCGCGUAGGCGGUUUUGACAGUCAGAUGUGAAAUUCCUGGGCUUAACCUGGGGGCUGCAUUUGAGACGUCAAGACUAGAGUGUGAGAGAGGGUUGUGGAAUUCCCAGUGUAGAGGUGAAAUUCGUAGAUAUUCGGGAGAACACCAGUGGCGAAGGCGGCUCACUGGCUCAUACUGGACGCUGAGGUGCGAAAGCGUGGGGAGCAAACAGGAUUAGAUACCCCAGUAGUCCCUGUCUUUUAUAC
rnacentral:rRNA from 1 species